CACUCUUUCUCCUUCCACACACCCACACACACGGCCUAGAUUGGGAGAGAAAGAGCUGCAGAUUGAGAGAGAGAGAGAGAGAGAGGGGUACUGCUGGCUGGGAGAAAGAAAGAGAAAGAAGAAGGAGAAGAAAAAAGAAGAAAAAGAAAAGAAAAGGAAAGUGACGAAUUUGAAGGGGGUUUCCGCCAUGGGUGCUUGAGAGGUGUAUCGCGGUUGAGUCAAGAGUUCACCGGAGGGUACUCAAGCGAACAAGGUUAAUGCAUGGGUUCAUGGCAUACUGCGGUAUUGCCAUGCCACUGUGACAAUCCGCUUCAUUGUGGGGAAUGCUUUUGAAAAAAAAAAAAAAAAAAUUAGUCAUGUUUUAUCAAGCGGGUCGUCACAGUGUCGCUGCUUCGCUGCUUGCUAUUAGGGUUUUCUUUCAUGCGGCCCCACCGCGUCGAGCUCCCACGCCCCCUACGCGGCGGUUUUCGGCCUGCACGGGCCCUGCUUUGCCAGUCUUCUCUACGCCUGUUUGCCGCCCACCGUCCACUGUUGGGCCUUUCGAUGCGUCCCCGCCGCGAUUAGCUUCCAACGCCCCUUCGGUUUUCGGUUCCCGGCAUGUGCGUGAUCGGAGUGUGUUGUUUCUUUACUUGUUUUAUUUCCUUGUUCUAUUGCUUCUUUAAGAUGUAUUUGUGUUUUGGCAUAUGUUUUUUCCCUGUAUUGUUUAAUUUACCUGUUUUGUUCGGCUUGUAAUAAGGUUCUUUCCUCUCUCACUCGAUCUAUGUCGCCUUCAGGUUAAUUAGUUUUGGUCCAGACUUUUGGGUUGUGAAUGUGAUCAUUAUCCUAGCCUUUGGGUCGAGGAGGAAGAGUUUCGACAUGAGUCUUUCUGCUCUCAGGGUCGAAGAAUAAUUGCUAUCCAUGCAUUUGGCUGAGUCUGUCUGUCACGGAUCUAGUAUGAAAUCUAAUUUUAAUCAUGGGUUAGCAGAUUGGUCUCGAAUCUUGUAUUAAAUCAGAUAAUC